rnacentral:rRNA from 1 species
GNGCGUAAUGCAGUCGAGCGGUACAGAAAGUAGCUUGCUACUUUGCUGACGAGCGGCGGACGGGUGAGUAAUGCUUGGGAACAUGCCUUGAGGUGGGGGACAACAGUUGGAAACGACUGCUAAUACCGCAUAACGUCUACGGACCAAAGGGGGCUUCGGCUCUCGCCUUUAGAUUGGCCCAAGUGGGAUUAGCUAGUUGGUGAGGUAAUGGCUCACCAAGGCAACGAUCCCUAGCUGGUUUGAGAGGAUGAUCAGCCACACUGGAACUGAGACACGGUCCAGACUCCUACGGGAGGCAGCAGUGGGGAAUAUUGCACAAUGGGCGCAAGCCUGAUGCAGCCAUGCCGCGUGUGUGAAGAAGGCCUUCNGGUUGUAAAGCACUUUCAGUCAGGAGGAAAGGUUAGUAGUUAAUACCUGCUAGCUGUGACGUUACUGACAGAAGAAGCACCGGCUAACUCCGUGCCAGCAGCCGCGGUAAUACGGAGGGUGCGAGCGUUAAUCGGAAUUACUGGGCGUAAAGCGUACGCNCGCGGUUUGUUAAGCGACAUGUGAAAGCCCCGGGCUCNACCUGGGAAC